UUACAACGCAAUUUGACAGGAUCCAACUAUUUGCUCUCGUAGCCUUUUAUGUGACUCUAUACAUUGGGCUAAUCCUUAUUCUUCUCCUAAGGCAACAUUCAUUUUCUCAUGCCUCCGAACAAGGCCUGAGACUCCCUCGGGUUCCUGUAACGUAUGUUGGGUGGAUGUCUGUGUUCUGUGGCAUUGUGGCGAAGGAAAGGUCUGCGUCCUAGUGGUGGAGAUGGCUAAUUAAGACAAUAGCGGACAUAGGACAAUCAGGGGCCGACUGGUGAAUAACAGUCUAGACAGCAGCUACGGUUCUCCGUCGGAAUUUUAACUUGCCCUGCUUCCCUUUCCCCUAAAUCGAUCGCACACCCUCUGUCGGCCCCUAACAUCUCAUUCCCUGGCUUUUCUUUUUAUUCAGAUUUUAUUUGUGUCUGACCUUAAACAAUUCAUCUUUUCAUAGACUUGUCGAGUCUGACAGGCCGGUUUUAUUAUUGAAAGUCUAGUGGCCGGGCCAUAAUGAAACCUUCCAACUAACCAUGACGACGUCAUGAUCAAGGAAUUUCUUGUUUUCUUAAGCACUCGAUCACGUUAUCAACACUUUUUAACUUGUUUACUGUGGAGAAAUUAGGGUUUACAAGAACAACACUUGGACUCUGGAGUAGCCUUCUUUGGUAGUAAUUGCCGACUUACUGUAGACGCAAAAAUGUGUCUGUGUACUGUAGUUAAUUUUUUUUUUUUUUCCUCAGUGCUCCUUUUCAUGAGAUCUCGGCUACAGAAGGUUAUAUGACUAUGUAUGCAGAAUCGAUGUUUAAUUUGAUUAUUUGCUGAUUUCGUUUUAUGGAAACUGGCGGAGAUUGAGGAGAUCACUUCACGACAUUCCGGAAAAAGGGCUCUUCGUGGUAGUUCAGAAGAUUGAACCAAAGCGAAAAAAGGACCUUUCCUCCAAAACAGACAAAGAAUACAUGAAAACAUUUUGACUAUCAAACAGGCUUGUUUCUUGGUAUGUCAAAAGACCUCUAUCAAUGCACAAAACUCGUGUAAGUCUAUCAUUUAAAAGUGACCCAGGGAAAUGCUCAUAAUAAUAAAAUGUCAAUCUUCUAAUAAAAUGGUGCAAACAGUAGACGUUCCUGAGACAGACGAGGACAGCCUGACAGCAGGGCACACAGAGAGGGCUGUUUUACGAGGAACCUGUACAGCCACAGUCAUCUGGCUGCUACAACAUUUGUGACCCUAAGAGUAGACUUAAUAGAAACCUACUGAAAGUCCCACUGCAUGGGGUGUCUGCUAUGACUGUGACCUUGGACCUAGCUCUACUCAUUUCCAUAAUAAUGUGGGAAACGUUUGUCAAUAUUAAGCAAAUGUUGAUAGCCUUGUUGUCAGUCAAGGCAAGAUCCUCCAUAGUCUGGACUCAAAUCCCCAAACAACAAGACCCACCACAGUUUAGAUUUAUUCCCUUAAACAAGACCCAACAUAGCCUGGACUCAAAUAGUCCAAAAUUGUGACUCUCCAUAACCUAAACUCAUAUGCUCAAACAACAAGAUCCACAAUAGUCUGGGACUCAUAUCAUUGUACAACAACAAAAACACCACAGAUUGGAUUUGUAGCCUUGAACAACAAAACCCAGCAUUGCCGGGAUUCUGAUUCUCCAACAAUGAGACGCAGCAUGGCCUGGACUCAAAUCCACCAACAAUAUGACCCUCCAUAACCUAAACUCAUAUUCUUGAACAACAAGACCCACUAAGACAAUCCAUAGUCUGAGAUUGAUAUGUUUGUACAAGACCCACCAUAAUCUGGGACUCAUAUCCACAAACAACAAGACCCACCAUCAUCUGGAACUCCUAUCCUCGAACAACAAGGCCCACCAUCCUCUGGAACUCCUAUCUUCAAACAACAAGACCCACUAUCAUUUUGGACUCCUAUCCUCAUACAAGAAGACCCACCAUCAUCUGGGACUUAUCUAUGAACCAUCUGACAUUACUGUUGGGAGUAUUCUGAGCGAAGCAGCCAAUACUGAUGGUGUCUGUCAUUUACUCUUUUCCCAUGAUUUAUUGGCAAGAAACAGAUAUACAGUAACAAUUGACACUGAUAAUGUAGGUUUUCAAAGCCCCAGUGGUAUCAUCUAUAUGUCAGCAGGAAAAGCCUUACUGAGGACAACUUUUGCAACAUGUAUAUUGAACGGCUAUUAGAACAUACUCCUACACCAGGCUUCUUGGUAAUCACUGUUUGGUUAAUGUAUUGGUGCCCAUACACUUGUGAGAUAAUCGGUGCUAACCUUCGAUUUCUACCUCAUCUGUGAGAAAAAUCGAAGGAUUGUAUGCACAUUUUAGGUACCU